AGGCUUGGGGCCCUUCAGAUUUGCUUAGAAAUGUAACUGGGAGAGACUGAUGAGUUUUGGAAAAGGGAUCCGUUUUAGUUUGCUCUUCGCAAAGGAUGCAGAAAACUGAACUUGACAGAAGGAUGAGAAGCAGGAGAAUGAGUAAUCAUCCCUACAACCACAACAUCUAAGAAAAAGCGAAGCAAGCCACUGAAACUGACAAUACCUUUUUAUAGCCUCAAUCCAGAAUCAAUACAAAAGGGCUGCAUCUAAUAACUUCAAGAGGCUGCAUUGUACUUGAUGGUAAUCUACGUUGAAUCCCUAAAGCCUCUGCUUCCCUGCUCUGUGACCUUGGGUACACGGCAGCUGAGCACCUGGUGCGUGUUCAAGAUUUCUACUCAAGACUCCCUGGAUGUAUUUUGGCUCUUGGCACUACUGACCACAUUGAAGGCCGACCCCAGGACCUCAGAUGAAGAUGUUUUGCCUUUGGGAGUUCCUGAUUGGAGAACCCCUCCUUCCCUAGCUGCCUUUCUCUUGCCUUGAGGUAUGGAUCUCCAACACUGUGCUAGCCUCGACUUGUCUUGGAUGGUUAUUUAAUUUAAGGAAACCAAUUAUCAGUGAUGCGUGAGCAACGUCUUUAAACUUGCAGGUAUGAUCAGAUGACCCUGCAAGCCAUGUGUUCCAGUGGUAAACCUCCAAGAUGGAAACAGCCUGGAGCCCUGAAUCAUUGCUUGGAAGGGAGUCACUAGACCCAUGGUAGACUCUG